UAGAUACUCCCUCCGUUCGGAAUUACUUGUCGCAGAAAUGGAUGUAUCUAGAUGUAUUUUAAUUCUAAAUACAUCCAUUUCCGAGACAAGUAAUUCCGAACGGAGGGAGUACAUG
rnacentral:pre_miRNA from 1 species